rnacentral:lncRNA from 1 species
GAGGGGGCGCUGCAGGGCGGCCGGACGAUGCCCACGUCAGGCCGCGGGCGCGAGAAAGCCUUCAGCCACACUCGCCGAUCCAAGGGAUGGCCAAGGAUCUGCCCCUGCCCAGGCCCACGCCCAGCCUGGGGGAAUCAUUGAGAGGGAAGGCUCGGCUUCCCCCGUCACCUCGUCCACCCUGAGCCACGUCCACCGCGCUGGGGUUGGCCCUCCCGCACACUCUGGUGGUUUCCUGUCUGCGAGCACGGAAGUAAACAAAGACCAUCCAACCAACAAGGACUCUCGCUCAGGAGUGAUGCCAUGGCAGGACGGGGAGAGCUUCAGAGUGGACAGGAGACCAUUUCCGGUGUGCCUGGCAGGAGGCUUCCAGCCUAGGGAUCAGGAGGCAGCUACCUGGACGCGGGACACCCCAUUUAAUUGGCCAGAGGAACAUAUUUGGCUUUUGCUUGGAAAAGAGGAUAAGUUGGAAACAGAGAGCACGGGAAGAGAAUAUUGUGGCUGCAGUUCUUGAAAACCCUGCCUCAUACUGUGGCUUUGGGAAGACAGAGAAGCUGACUGCAGGAGCUCCACCUGCACUUCCUGCUCCAGAUGCUCCCUCCAUGGAGACCCCUGGAAUAAACCAGAGUGGGGCCCCAAAUGCCAAGGAACUUCUUGCCAUCACCCAUUUCUGAUGGCUAUUGCCAGCCCCAGCAGGAAGAGGAGAAGCUGGACUGAAGGUGGUAAAGAAGCCCAGAAGAGGCUGCAGUCUCUGCAAAAGCACUGAGAUGCAAAGGCCCCACUCCUCUGAGCUGGUUUUGAACUUCUGGCUUCAGGAGAUCCUCUUGCCUCAGCCUCCUUGAAUAGCUGGCACUACAAGUAUGUUCCACCGUACCCAGCUUGCAUCAGUAGUUGAAGUGCUGGGGGACCAAAUCCUGCAUGCUAGGAAAGUGCUCUACCACUGAGCUACGUCUGCAGCCCAAGGUCACCAUUUUGCCUGCCCACCAGCAGUGUAUGUGGGUUUAGGGUGAUUCACAGCUUUGCCAGCGCUUGGUGCUGUCAGUCUUGUUAUUUCAGACUUCACAGCAGGACUUUGACACCAUCCAUCUAGGUAGAACCUCUGGCUAAGCUCCCAGGGAGGAGGAGAAAUGCCAAUUUUACAGAAAACUCAAGAAGAUCCAUUCACCUGCUUCCUGGGAGAACAGAUGGUAUUUUGCCUGAGGAAUAUGAAGAAUGCAAAUUUGCUUUCUCUCACUCAGGAUGGAGUUGGUGCUUAUAAAAAGAUACACAGACUAAUAAAUGCUGCCAGUUUGCAAAGCCAACUUAUCCUAGUUUUUUGACAACAAAAUGGUACAUCCUGCAAGAUGUUACUUCUCCACUUGAAACACAUUUUUCAUCAAGCCAAAUAAGUUGCCACAGAUGCCACACCUCCUUCUUACAUGUGUCUUCCUGCCUCUGCCUCCCAGAGUGCUGGGAUUACAGGCAUGUGCCACCAUGCCUAGUCCUACAAACUUCCUCAAACUGUGGAGUCAGGGUUCAUCUUGAUCUGUGUCAGGUCUGAAUACAGUGCCCUCUGGGUCUCUGCUGAGGCUGUCACGUGACACCAGAGUGAAGAGCAGAGGUGACCAAGGGGGAGUGGUCCUUCAGACCCUGGCUGUAGCUCCUAUUCUGUAUCUGGGAAGACUCCUAGCUCUGGCCUCUUGUGAACCCCAGGAAGGAUGGGACUUCUGAGUUCUCUCUGAGCUUGUCAUGCAGUGCCAAUAUUACACUGUGUACUACAUUAAAGGAGGC